UUCGUCAUUGUUGUCAUUGCCGUUUAUUUAUCCUGACAAUUGAUUAUAGUCUGGGAAUAGAAAUUUUGAAGGCUUCUGGAAGGUGAGAAAUAUGAUGCUAUUGUUAUACUGAUUCUCUCUCUCUCUCUCUCUCCUUCUCUCCCUGCUCCCCUCAUCUCCCACGCAUCCCUGCCUUUUUCCUCAGUUUAUAGGCACAUCAAUUUUCUCCAGCACAUUGAUAUUUUGUAAGGAUAUGUCUUGCACCUAUUUUAAUCCACUUUAUUUUGUUGCCAGGCAUACAAUGAGCUUUUUCCGUCUCAAACUCAGAUCCUUCAAGUCCAGUAUAUUUACUUGAAUUGUCCCUUACAUCCACUUUUCCCUUUUGUCUUUUUGAAUCUCCUAUGAUUCAGAUAUUGCACUUCCUGUACUACCACAUCAGAUGCCUAGUUAUCCUUGACUAUCACUCACAUUUAAGUCUGGGGACCAAAUCCUCCAAACACAAGUGUAGCUCCUGAGCUGUGAACUUCACUGUAAGGUGACUUGACUUGACAGCUUAGGUGAGGAACCCUGGAUAUCCCCAUCUUUGGCUCUCUGUGCCAAGGCUGGCCAGAUUAUCCAAAGUAUGUUCUUCAGUCUCCUGCAUGGAAGUUGAAGGCCUGGCUGGUCAACGUCUGCAGGCUGAAUGCAAAAGGGCUGGGAGAUGAUCUCAACAUCCGGUAUUGUACACAUUCAUUUAAUCUAUUUCAGUAUGGUAGCUCCAUCCUCAACUUACCUCAGUCUCUCUCUCUAGAAAAAGUACACCAUCCUUCUCUUGCCAGGGCUAUUGAUUGUUGAGAUCUAGGAAGCUGACAACUUCAAAACCAACUUUCAACCAACCCCCCUCAUUUGAGCCCUUCUGAUGCUCCCUCUCCUACAAAUUCCAGGCAGUACCCAUCUCUGAACUGUGGGUCCCACGUACAUUGAGUGGGAUUCAAUCUCCCACUUCUGCUGAACCAUCAUUCUCUCAUCCAUCUGCUUUCCAGGUUACAAAAUUUUGUAGUAUUGCUUACUUUUCUCUUCUUCCUUUCCUUUGGGGCUUAAGACUUUUAAAAAUCACUUUAGAAUUGUUUUAUGGGGAACUUGGCAGGGAGUUAAAGCGUUUAAUCUUCCAUCUUUGCACAGAAAUCCUCAAAUCCCUUCUGUUCUUUGUUUAACAACGUUACUUCCUCUGAACCCCCUUGAGCCCAUGUUAGGUGCCUCUGCCGAGUCUCCCCCUUAAAGCCCUGUGCUUCUCCCAUCAGGCAUGUAGAUGUGGGUGUGGAUGGGACCAAACCACAAAUUUAUUUUUGUCUCUCUCUGUCCCCUUAAGCUUUUAUUCAGUGGAGAUAAUCUUCCCCAUCCCUGGAAGGAAAGUUGGCAGAUCCCCACGAUUUCCUACUUGUUCACAUGAAAGAGUCAACUCUGUGAUUGCUUUAAUUCACAAAACUAGAUUGACUAACUAGAAUGUUUUCUGCCCAAAAUAUUAGGCAAUCCCUCAACCUUCAAAGUUAAGAAUGCUCUCUCU
rnacentral:lncRNA from 1 species